GCCCUUACCCGUGCCCGACGGUUUCCUCCUUCUCCUCCUCCUACUUCUUCUCUCAAACUUGAUCCUCUUCCCAUCUCCCUCGCGCGCACGCCCUCAACACUCUGCCGCCACCGGCGAGAGCCCGAUUUCCUCUCAUCUGGCCGACGCGACGUCGGCCCUCGAUCCGCGGCUUCCUCUGCCCUAGCCCCAGCCGAGCAGCGCUGACUUUCCUUUUCCCUCGCGCCGCCACUGCGCGGAAGUGCCGCCGGCCGCCACUGUGCCCUGCCGACGCCGCUGCCCUCUCUCGACCCGAGCAGGGCCGCCAUCCUUCUGCCCUAUCGUCGGUGACCCGCCCCUUUUCAGUGCCGCUCUUCCUCAGCCCUAGCGCUGACGACGCCCGAGCCUCUCCCUCUUCGUGAGUUGCUGCCGUCGCCACUCGCCGUGGAGAUCCCAGCGCCGCUGCCCUUCACCCGUCGCCAUUGGCCCUUCCUCCUCUGAUGGUGGACUUGACCGGAGGCUGACAGAGGUGCUGGCUGGUUGUAGGCUUUCCUUUCCCGAGCCUAGACUUGAUCUUCUGUCAUCGCGUCACUGUACGUCGCAACUCCUAUCACCGGACCCUGUUACAUCACCAUAUCACUGCCUUGCUGGUGCCUCUUCUCCCGACCCUGUUCGUGUAGAGAGAUCGACAAGGAUUUGGCUGCGAGUAUAAGUAGAACAUGGGUGGCUAUUGUAUGGUGGAAGAUUUUUGGAUAAGCUUAAGGAUAGGGACUCUGAUUCGAGACGAGCAUCUCGACAUCGGAUUUGGACUGGAUUGGACCUUCCUAUU